UAGAAAACUCAUCUUAUGCAUAGAGUACUUUGAAUUUUUAAUAAUAGUUCAAAUAAUGUGUGAAACUUCAGAUUUUCACCUUUGUACAGGAAAACAUUGUGGACAUCACUGGGAACUCCGCCGAAGACCGUGUCAGUUGUCCGAGGAUAUCCUCUGUCCAUCGUGAGAGUCUUCACAUCAAGCCUGGUAGCAUGAAAUACAAUAUAAUGACCAUUAUUGUUUAAUACAGGCAAAGCAAGUGAGUUUCUCAGAAAGUCUUGGGAAAUUAUUGUCGAUAUAACAUAUUCCUGUAUGUAAAUAUUGGCUUGUAUACCAUUCUUCUUGUAUAUUGUUUCCCAGCAUAUAUAUUUUUAGCAUUUUGUACUUUUGCACAUUUAUAAAAUUGUUGGCGUUUGCUGCUGCUGGAAGUGCAUUUUCCUGAGGGAACCUUCCCGAGGGAUUAAUAAAGUUCAUAUUCACCCAUUCAUCCAUCAAUCAGAGGUUUGCCUGUUUUUGUUAUGUUUGCAGGUUUUCUUCAACCACCAUGUUUGCACCCAAGCAUAAAGGUUCAGUGCCCAGCGAAUCUCACCUCCAGUAGUUCUCCCCGUUGAAGAGCAGGACUUUGCUCCCCUUUCUCUGCACGGAUCCCUCCACCGUCUGAACACUGCUCGGCAGGCCCAGCUUCUCGAUGCUGCGGGGUCCAAGUACCUUCUUGCCAGUGUACACCCAGAACUGAGUUCCUUUGAACACAAUUGGAAACAUUUAUGUUAAUGCAGGGGGCAGGAUAGUGUAGUGGCUACUAGUGUUACAAUCCCAGCCAUAAGGUGCUUGGUUUGAUCCUCAAUGUCCGCAGCCUACCUCUGUGGGCAACAUUGAACAAAAUGCUUAACCCCUACUUACUCCUCAGUGCAAUGUAUCUUCUUCACUUUGAUUGAGAUAAGAUAAACGUGGCUGCUAAAUAAUUAAAUAUAACUGCAAUUGAUUUAUGUGUUUCAUAAGCAAACUGAGGGAAGAUCGCUCACCUGCAAAGAAGUACAUCUUUUUGGUUUCCGGGUCCUCAAAGGCAGAGUCAAUCUUAGCUGGCAGGGCCGGCCACCCCUCAGAAAUAGCAAAUGGACCCUUAGCCUUAUCGCUGUUGGUCUUUUUCCAGUAAUAUCUGAUGGAGAAAAUAUUAUUAUUAAAAGUUAGAACAAAGGCCCCGCAAUUUCCAAUGUAUGUUUUCUUUCCUGAACGUAGACAGACAGGUACAUUGCGUAUUGACCUACCCAUCCUUGAAGAAGUGCAGCACAUUCCCAAUCUCAGUGAUUGCGUCAAAGGUCGUGACCUGGCAGACAUCAUUGUCUGGACCUACAGGUGUCGGUGUGGUGGUUGUUGUUGGUCUGGUGGUCGUCGUGGUGAUGGGACCCGGGGGACUGGGGUCCGGGCCGGUUUUAGGUCCUGGGGAAAUACAAUUUUAGAAUUGGAGGAUAAUGUUUGCUUGUCAUCGAAUUUGCAAUAUUUAUUGAGAACUAUACUGAAUGAUUUUUUGUUUUUAUUUUAAGCAAGUGGGCUUACCGUAGAGAUACUGAAUGCCUUCAACGUCGUCCUCAUUUAGGGAAAAGUUCUCAAUGAAUCUGUACAUGGGAAACAUAAGUGCGUCUCUGACUUUGGAGUGGUCCAGGCCCAGGGCAUGUCCAAACUCGUGGGCUGCUACCAGGAACAGACUGUACCCUGGGGGGGGCAGAAAAAGAGCCACUUAAAAUUAAGAAAUCAUCAUUCAACAUUCAAUCUGUCAUCUUAUAAGAAGAAGACUCAGUGUUGCAUUAAUAGUCUUUUUUUUUUUUACUCACCUUGGUCAGGACAGAAUCCCCAUUUGGUGUCGGUGUCAAAGUUAUCAGUGGUGGCACACCAUAGCCUUCCGUCAUUGCGUCCCUCGCUAGUGCAGGAGUCGUACGAAUUCCCCUGGAACUGGAAGGGGAAGCGACAAGACUCGCCCUCUGAAUUUCCUCCGACCACAGCCGUUUCUGGUGGAGCAAAGAAAUUCGAUUUUACAAUUUUAAAAAAGUAUAAGAGGAAAAAGACAAUGUGCUGUGUGGGCAGUAAUUCAUCGAUCAUACACCAGGCAAAGGUGACGUCGUUGUGGUCCCAUUUGAGGUCUCCGUCGAAGGACUGGUAGCUGCCAAUGUCUGGGACCCCACAGCGGGGGCGUUUCAUGGUGUCCAGCGUGGUCUUGUCCAGCAGUCCGGUCUCCUCCAGACCCAUCUGCCUCUGCAGCGUCUUCAGAGCUUUGGACGUGGAAACAUCGCUGCGCUGCGGAGACUCCAUAUAGCCAAACCUCUUCAGUCAUGUUUUUGAUGACAUCUCCCGGGAAGGUGACGAACACAGACUUGACAGGAAGGCUCAACGUCUCCAUUGUGCACAUCCCCAAAACCAGCAACGCUAUCGCAGUGGACCUCAUGUUGAGGUCAAAACAAACUGAGCUGUGGCUGGAAAGAACUCAGGCAGAGAGGAGCAGAUCCACUAAAAACUAAAACACCCAACAGAGUAAACUAUCUCAAUGUGUUGGCUUCUCUCCUUUGUUUUGACGAGUGGUGAGUGUUGUUCUCCUUUGUGCACUCCUAGGGCAGCACUGCUGUAUUUAUGCACCAUAGAGUCUUAGUCACUAGACCUCAGCCCCUCUUACACCCAACCUCAGACCUCCCCUUUAGAAGCGUAUAAUGAUACCCUGGAAUGGAGUUCCUAACUGGCCCCAUUUAGCCUUUCCAAAGAAAAAGAGAAAUGUGAUUGUUUUUUUCUCUUUUUGUUAAAAUUUAAAGGGGGUGGAUUGUUAGUUAGUGCAUGGUUAAUCUAAUUACAGUCACUAAAACAAAUGUUUCACUUCAAAAUGGCAAAACAGUAUUGACACAUGGAAUGGUUUGGUUAAAAUCCCUGUUACACUUUAUAUGUAUGUAUCAAUGUCCAACUGCUGUAUUGACCCUACAUGUGUCAAUGCUUUAGUGUUUGAAUAAAGGUUAGCUUCCCUCUGCCAGCUGUGGUGAUUGUGUAAGGUAUCACUCUUGCUGGGAACCGGAUAAUUGUACUCAUGCAGAGGAUUAUUUUUUUUUAUAAACGUAUACUGGAUAAGAACUCUUCUUAUGAACAGGUCAUGACAGUUUUAGGAAGAAAAAAAAACAUCUUGCAUUACCAUGUCUACAACAAGCUCAAAAGCUUAAAUUUGAUUUCUAAAAAAAGUGGACAAAUUGGACAAACAAACUACAAAAUGGUGUUUGUAUGGAAGCAAAUAUAGGAACAUGAUAACAACCUUAUGAUUGUCUAGAACCUGACCCUUUUUUGUAAGUAUAAAUGCAUUUUUACAAUUAUUUUGAUGAGAAGACUCGUCAAAUUCCCAAAUAUUUGGAACGCAAAAUGAUGGAGCAAUAAAAUCCUAGUAAGUAGAUGGCGAUAUUUUUGUCUACAUAUGCAGGAAAUAAAUGUUAUAUCAUAGCUAGUCUAUGUCGAGAUGAAUGCAAUUUCAAACUUGAGGAUCAAUGCUCCUCAAGUCAGGUCUGAGCUUGGAAAGACAGCUUUUUGCUUCAGUGCCACUUACUCCUGGAACAACUUACAGCAACAAAUUACAAUUAAUACCUUCAUAUCCUAUAUCCAAUUUAGACAUAUUAUCUUAAAUCUGCCAUCUCUACCUGUAACUGUUUUAAUAAAGCUAUAUCACUUAUUUCAUUUUAAUUCCAGCCAUUCUACACCUCUGUGUAAAUGUUCAAAUUGUUUUUAGUUUUUUUUCUCUUCAUCAGUUGUUGUAUAGGCCUAUUUUAUGUAUUUGCAUUGUUUAUUGUGUAUGUAUGGUUGUUUUUGCUUUGCAUUUGUUUGACUCGACAUCAUUGCAAAUGAGGGUCACCCCUGAAUUGAUCUUUCGAGUAUAA